rfam:Chryseobacterium indologenes strain CI_885 contig_75, whole genome shotgun sequence.
GGUUUCUUAGCUCAGUUGGUAGAGCAAUGGAUUGAAAAUCCAUGUGUC